UACGUAGGGUGCAAGCGUUAAUCGGAAUUACUGGGCGUAAAGCGUGCGCAGGCGGUUUUGUAAGACAGGCGUGAAAUCCCCGGGCUUAACCUGGGAAUUGCGCUUGUGACUGCAAAGCUGGAGUGCGGCAGAGGGGGAUGGAAUUCCGCGUGUAGCAGUGAAAUGCGUAGAUAUGCGGAGGAACACCGAUGGCGAAGGCAAUCCCCUGGGCCUGCACUGACGCUCAUGCACGAAAGCGUGGGGAGCAAACAGG
rnacentral:rRNA from 1 species